UACGGGGGGGGGCAAGCGUUGUUCGGAAUUACUGGGCGUAAAGGGCUCGUAGGUGGCCAACUAAGUCAGACGUGAAAUCCCCUCGGCUUAACCGGGGACUGCGUCUGAUACUGGAUGGCUUGAGUGUGGGAGAGGGAUGCGGAAUUCCGGGUGUAGCGGUGAAAUGCGUAGAGAUCAGGCGGAACACCCGUGGCGAAGGCGGCCAGCUGGGCCGUCCCUGACGCUGAGGCGCGAAAGCGUGGGGAGCGAACGAGG
rnacentral:rRNA from 1 species